rnacentral:rRNA from 1 species
UACGUAGGGUGCAAGCGUUAAUCGGAAUUACUGGGCGUAAAGCGUGCGCAGGCGGUUAUGCAAGACAGAUGUGAAAUCCCCGGGCUUAACCUGGGAACCGCAUUUGUGACUGCAUAGCUGGAGUACGGCAGAGGGGGAUGGAAUUCCGCGUGUAGCAGUGAAAUGCGUAGAUAUGCGGAGGAACACCGAUGGCGGAAGGCAGUCCCCUGGGCCUGUACUGACGCUCAUGCACGAAAGCGUGGGGAGCAAACAGG